rnacentral:rRNA from 1 species
CGACCUCAGUUCAGGUGAGACUACCCCCUGAAUUUAAGCAUAUUACUAUGGGGAGGAAAAGAAACCAAC